rnacentral:rRNA from 1 species
CAGUCGCCACGGUAAUACGUAGGUGGCAAGCGUUGUCCGGAAUUAUUGGGCGUAAAGGGCUCGCAGGCGGUUUCUUAAGUCUGAUGUGAAAGCCCCCGGCUCAACCGGGGAGGGUCAUUGGAAACUGGGAAACUUGAGUGCAGAAGAGGAGAGUGGAAUUCCACGUGUAGCGGUGAAAUGCGUAGAGAUGUGGAGGAACACCAGUGGCGAAGGCGACUCUCUGGUCUGUAACUGACGCUGAGGAGCGAGAGCGUGGGGAGCGAACAGGAUUAGAUACCCGUGUGUCCCUGUCUCUUAUACA